rnacentral:piRNA from 1 species
GUUGGAGAAACUCGGCUAGAUUUUC